rnacentral:rRNA from 1 species
AGAACGAACGCUGGCGGCAGGCCUAACACAUGCAAGUCGAACGAGAAGCCACCUUCGGGUGGUGGACAGUGGCAGACGGGUGAGUAACGCGUGGGAACGUGCCUUUCGGUUCGGGAUAACCCAGGGAAACUUGGGCUAAUACCGGAUACGCCCUUCGGGGGAAAGAUUCAUUGCCGAAAGAUCGGCCCGCGUCGGAUUAGCUAGUUGGUGGGGUAAUGGCCUACCAAGGCGACGAUCGGUAGCUGGUCUGAGAGGAUGACCAGCAUCACUGGGACUGAGACACGGCCCAGACUCCUACGGGAGGCAGCAGUGGGGAAUAUUGGACAAUGGGCGCAAGCCUGAUCCAGCCAUGCCGCGUGGAUGAUGAAGGCCCUAGGGUUGUAAAGUCCUUUUAACGGGGAAGAUAGUGACGGUACCGUAGAAUAAGCCCGGCUAACUUCGUGCCAGCAGCCGC